rnacentral:rRNA from 1 species
UACGAAGGGGGCUAGCGUUGUUCGGAAUUACUGGGCGUAAAGCGCACGUAGGCGGAUAUUUAAGUCAGGGGUGAAAUCCCAGAGCUCAACUCUGGAACUGCCUUUGAUACUGGGUAUCUCGAGUAUGGAAGAGGUGAGUGGAAUUCCGAGUGUAGAGGUGAAAUUCGUAGAUAUUCGGAGGAACACCAGUGGCGAAGGCGGCCGAACUGGGCCGGACCUGACGCUGAGGCGCGAAGGCGUGGGGAGCGAGCGGG